rnacentral:lncRNA from 1 species
AAAAGACAUUUUUAAUUAAAAAUAAAUUACAGAGGGCACACGUGUGCUUCUAAUUCUGGGCUGUAUUUCUGUCCAUCAAUGUCCCCGUCUUUCCUUAAACUUGCUGGGGCUAGUCUCUGUCAAUACGGUCACUUGCGACUAAAUCUUAGAAUCAAGUAGCACCGCGUCUAGUUCUGUUCUCUAUCUAAGCUGCUUGGAUAGUCUCGGUCCAAAUCCAAACUGCGUCUCAGUGCAUCAUCGGAGCCUGCUCGCGUGUGGAGUAAAAGAAAGAAAAACCAACAAUUCUCCCGGAGCAUCGAGUGCUGUGCCCUCAAGCCGCAGGUCAAGAGAGGACGGUCAUUCUCUUACACGAAGUGACUCUUUCAAGCCAUAAAUGGGGCUUGUCUCUGCUCUGUCUGGUCCUUCUCGUAAAAUUAUCUCAGAAACGGAUUCUCAGAAAUUCAGUGCAUUUGCAAAAUCUGUCCCGAAGUCCUUCUUGCUUUAUAGACUUGUGAAUGGCAUUAAAAAAAAGGAGACAGAGAAAAUUCCAGACUUUUAUUACUGGUAUAAUUAAAUUUUUAAAAAAUGCCCGCUGUCUCCUGUCACCUCCUAACUUUGCUUAUGGCUCUGGGUGGCUUUUGGGUGGAUAUCCCGAGGGUUCUCUAUGGGGAAGAAAAAGACUAUUAGGGUUUUUCCUUCCUAGAUGAGCCCUGUCUGCCCUUCCUGUCGGGUCUUUGCUCUGCCUGGAUCAUCAGCUGCUAUUUCCCAUUUCGAAUCAUCGCAAAAGGGACUUGACUCCAAAAUGCAUUCAAAUAACAAGGGCAAGGGAUCAGACAAUCUCCAUGGAGUGAUUUAGGGUUGGAAAAAAAAAAAAAAAAAACAAACAAACAAAGGGUCUGAUUUUGCUGGGCUGUGGUGGUGCUCACCUCUAAUUCCAACAACUUGGGAGGCUGAGGCAGGAGGAUCAAAAGUUGGAGGCCAGCUUCAGCCACUCAGUGAGACCCUGUCUCAAAAUAAAAAAUAAAAAUAAAAGUGACCGAGAAUGAGCUCAAUGGUAGAGCGCCCCC